GGGAAGCAGCAAAGGGGGGAACGCAGAGGGCACGCGCGGGUAGUCCGGAGAGUAUGCCUGUUUGAGGGUAAUUAAAAAGAAGCUUUAACCAAUUUUGGGGGGGCAAAGGAAAUGAGCUCUCCGCGUUUAUAGCGGUAGCUUGAAAUAAAUGGGCAAGUCUCAUUUGAGUCGGGACGCGUAAGAAGAUGAGUUCGCGAAAUCUUCAUUAUGUGACUAUCAAGUUUUGAUGCAUACAAAUUUGCGGUGUAUGCGAUCAAUACAAAGAGUUUGAACAUUACCUCAAAUCAGGGAGUAGGACCCG
rnacentral:misc_RNA from 1 species